rnacentral:rRNA from 1 species
GACGAACGCUGGCGGCGUGCUUAACACAUGCAAGUCGAACGGUAGGGCUCCAGCUUGCUGGGGUACACGAGUGGCGAACGGGUGAGUAACACGUGGGUGACCUGCCCUGCACUUCGGGAUAAGCCUGGGAAACUGGGUCUAAUACCGGAUAGGACCGCACCGUGAGGGUGUGGUGGAAAGUUUUUUCGGUGUGGGAUGGGCCCGCGGCCUAUCAGCUUGUUGGUGGGGUAAUGGCCUACCAAGGCGGCGACGGGUAGCCGGCCUGAGAGGGUGGACGGCCACAUUGGGACUGAGACACGGCCCAGACUCCUACGGGAGGCAGCAGUGGGGAAUAUUGCACAAUGGGCGGAAGCCUGAUGCAGCGACGCCGCGUGGGGGAUGACGGCCUUCGGGUUGUAAACUCCUUUCACCAUCGACGAAGGGUUUCUGACGGUAGAUGGAGAAGAAGCACCGGCUAACUACGUGCCAGCAGCCGCGGUAAUACGUAGGGUGCGAGCGUUGUCCGGAAUUACUGGGCGUAAAGAGCUCGUAGGUGGUUUGUCGCGUCGUCUGUGAAAUUCCGGGGCUUAACUCCGGGCGUGCAGGCGAUACGGGCAUAACUUGAGUACUGUAGGGGAGACUGGAAUUCCUGGUGUAGCGGUGAAAUGCGCAGAUAUCAGGAGGAACACCGGUGGCGAAGGCGGGUCUCUGGGCAGUAACUGACGCUGAGGAGCGAAAGCAUGGGGAGCGAACAGG